CUGAGCUUCCCGUGCGCCCCCUGGCCCGAUGCCGUCCCCGUACAAUCGAACGGCGAAGGCUCCCUACGGCGCGCGGCUCCGUUUCCAGCUGGAGAUGCAGCUCGGCUCACUUCCUUUUCCUAGUCCUCAGCUCGCUUCCUUUUCUUCACUCCUCUUCUUUCCGGAGCGCCGCAGAUCGAGAUCCUUGGCCGGAGCCGCCGCGGAUCCCCAUCACCGGAGCUGCAGUAGAUCCCCAUCACCGGAGCUGCAGCAGAUCCCCAUCGCCGGAGCCACCGCGUUGCCCGCUCCCGGCGGUGCCCCCGCUCCCGCGCGCCUGAGCCGCCCUCCUCGUUGCCCGUCACUGCUGCUUCCCGUCGGGCCGCCAUCCCCGUUGCCCACGGCCACUCCACCCGGCGGCGCCUCCGCCCGCCCGGCCCUGCGUCGCCCGCGGCCGCUUCCCUCCGCCUCCGCUGCCUCGCCCGCGGUCGGGCGCGGCUGCUGCUACCUCACCGUCCAGUCGCCCUCCCCAUUCGGCCUCUGUUUGCUACCUUGUUUGCUGAAUUGGCUAGGUCCAUUCCAUUGAUGUGGAUUCAAGUUUAGCAGUUACCUCUAGUUGGUAGGCAUGAGGCACCCAACGCAUCAUCGAAGAUGGUGGCGACACCAUGAAGUCGGUCCAUGGGCAAGGAAGAGAGAAGGAUGUAACUGCCCGACAUGACAUGAACUAGGGACGCAACAUUGAUGAAGCUUCUUGUGCCAGCCUAGAUGAUAUUGGUGAAGAUUUAUUUUUCUUGUGCCAGCAGCUGUGAAGAGUGCAGACGGUUGUGUUAACGGGAAUUGUAGGUUGUAGUUGUACUACUAGAGAAGAUUGCUGUGUAUGGAUGUAAUAGUGGUUCACAUGAAUAAUGUAAAAUGUGAUUUUUCUCUGAAUAAUUUGAUUGUUUGCCUGAAAUGUAUUAUGAACUAUUGACUCGGA